rnacentral:rRNA from 1 species
GACGACGCUGGCGGCGUGGAUUAGGCAUGCAAGUCGAACGGUAUCAUCCUUUCGGGGGUGAGAGAGUGGCGAACUGGUGAGUAACACGUAGGUUAUCUACCCUCAAGACGGGGGACAACCCAGGGAAACUUGGGCUAAUACCGGAUGUGAGCAACUUUUAGUUGUUUGAAAGGUGGCGUAAGCUGUCGCUUGGGGAUGAGCCUGCGUCCUAUUAGUUAGUUGGUGAGGUAACGGCUCACCUAGGCAAUGAUAGGUAGGCGGCCUUAACGGGUGGUCGCCCACACUGGGAUUGAGAUACGGCCCAGACUCCUACGGGAGGCAGCAGUCGAGAAUAGUCUACAAUGGUCGGAAGACUGAUAGUGCGACGCCGCGUGAACGAUGAAUCCCUUCGGGGUGUAAAGUUCUUUUAUAUGUGAGCAGUGCUUCUUAUAUUAACAGUAUGGGGAGAGAGAUAUUAGCAUAUGAAUAAGCAACGGCUAACUCCGUG